UGGGCGAGGCCGGAAAGAGAAGAAUCCUGCAGGAAGGAAAGAAGCUGAACUAGUUGGGACCUGACUGGGCAUGCGCACGGGUUACCUGUCCUGAACUGCCUUAACAAUGAGCCUGCUGCCGCAGGAGGCAGUGUGCUGCUCCCAGCAUGCACCAGGCCCAGGCUGUCGAGUGGCACCCCAGGGGCUCCUGGGAGUUGUAGUUUUUCGGAGCCUCUUCUCCUUUAUCCUGGAAUGACCUAUCGCCCACUUCGGAGCCCGGCAGCUUCCCUGGAAAUCGGCUGAGUCGCGGCACCGACUCACCUCUAAGGAGGGAAUUGAGGGGCAGCCCAGGGCUGAACAGUUCUCCCUCUAGUAGAAGAGAAGCAUUGGGAGAGAAAGGACCUUGUCUGCUUAGUCAUCGCUGUAUUUCCAGCCCCUCAAAGAAGUAGCUGGCACAUUAGGAGGCAUGCUCAGGAACAAGAGUCCUCUCAGCAGCAAGGUUUUGUGGCUCUGAAGCCUAGAUGCACAUAGGAAUGCCUUGGGAACUCUUCGAAAAUGCACAGCCCUGGACCUUAUCCCUGAAUGACCAAGUUUGGUUUUCUGGGAGCUUGGUCUGAGAAUAUGAAUAUUUAUAAAGUUUCUCAUGAUUCUAAAGCAGGUGACCCUUGGUUUCUUGUGUUUUCUGGGAAUCCCAGACCUAGGAAUCCAGUGGAAGGGUGCAGGAAAAGUAAGGAGUGGUACAGAGGGCUAAGGCUCCCACCAUGGAGCACAUCUCCUCUUCCCUUUCUUCUUCCCUAGCAUGAGGAACUAGCCAGACUGCUUGCUCUGCCACUGGUAAGUAACAUCUAGUGCUUCUGAUCAGACCAGUGUCUUUUUUGUGUGUGAUCCAUUGAGUAAUAGAACACAGCCUGUGGCUUUUUGCCCUAUUCACCUGUGCCAGAAGCAAGCGCAAGGCUUUGCAAAACUUUUCCCUUAAUCUUCCUUUCCAUUCUCUCUAGCCUGGGCAGGCUUGGGUUAACAAUAGGUUUUCAUGUAUACAAAGGUAUGAAGUAAGGUUCCUCUGUGUAUCUGUUUCUACAUAUUUUUAAAUAUAUUUUUAGAGCAGUUUUAGGUUGAAAGUAAAAUUGACUGGAAAGUAUAGAGAGUUCCCAUAUAACCUCUGCCCCCACAUAGGCAUAAUCUCCUGCAUAUCUGCAUCCCUCAUCAGAGUGGGACAUUUGUUACAAUCAAUGAACCUGCAUAGAUAUAUCUUUACCACCCAAAGUCCAUAGUUUACUUUAAGGUUCACUCUUGGUGAUGUACAUUCUACGCAUUUGGACAAAUGUAUAAUGAUAUGUAUCCAUGAUAAUAAUACCAUAUAGAAUAGUUUCACUGCCCUCAAAAUCCUCUGUGCUCUGCCUGCCCCAAACCCUUGGCAAUCACUGAUCUUUUCAUUGUCCCCAUAGUUUUGCCUUUUCCCAAAUGUCAUACAGUUGGAAUCACACUGCUCUAAAUCUUCUGCAUCCAAUAGUGUUAAAUAGAAUGUAUGAAGCAAUUAAAGGGGGCCUAUGAGGAAUGAAAGUUGCUAGUACAUAAGAGUUGGUCAUAGCCUUUUCAGAUUGGCUUCUUUCGUGUAGCAAUAUGCUUCCGAAUUUCUGCCCUGUCUUUUCAUGGCUUGAUACCUCAUUUGUUUUUAGUGCUGGGUAAUAUUCCAUUGUCUAUGUGUAUUAUAGUUUGUUUAUCCAUUGUUUAUCCUUCCUACUGAAGGCCAUCUUGGAUGCUUCCAAGUUUUGGCAGUAAUAGAUAAAACUGCUGUAAAUAUCCAUGUCUGGUUUUUGUGUGGGCGUUAAGUUUCCAGUUCCUUUGGGUAAAUACCAAAGAGCCCGAGUCCUGGAUCAUAUGGUAAGAGUCUGUUUAUUUUUAUAAGAAAUUGCCAAUAUGGGGCGCCUGGGUGGCUCAGUGGGUUAAAGCCUCUGCCUUCAGCUCAGGUCAUGAUCCCGGGGUCCUGGGAUGGAGCCCCGCGUCAGGCUCCCUGCUGAGCAGAGAGCCUGCUUCCCUUCCUCUCUCUCUCUCUGCCUGCCUCUCUGCCUACUUGUGAUCUCUGUCUGUCAAACAAAUAAAUAAAAUCUUAAAAAAAAAAAAAAAAAAGCCCCUCCUUUAAAAAAAAAAAAAAUUGCCAACUGGGCUUCUAAAAGUAGCUGUACCAUUUUGCAUUCUCACCGGUUAGGUUCGUCUAUAUUUCAGAGGAAAAUUAAUUCUCCUGGAAUUUUCUGCAGAAGAACUGGGAAGGCCGAGUAGGAUGAAGUAGGAGGGAACCUAGCUUUAGGGAAAUGGCUACAGGGUGAAAUAAUGAAAGAAAAGAGAGAAGGAGGAAGAGAGUUUGUUUCUGUUCCUUCUUUGCUUUGUCUUUACUAAUAACAUUCAGGCCACUGCAACCCCACCCUUACGCUAAGCCCUGAACUGAGCUCAAGUGAGAGGCAGGGACUAGGACGAUUAGGUCCUCUCCUUAGAAAACCGAGAGAAAAGCGGAGGAAUCCCAAGUACGUUUUGUCAAGAAGUGGAUCCACUAUUCCCACAAUACAGUAGCUCUCAAAAAAUGUUUGUUGACUGACAGGACAGGAUAAGUGAAAACCUAAACUCCUCAGUAUACCAGUCACAGGUUUUAAAUCUGUUAGAAUCCUUGGUUUAGCUUCAGGAAAUUCAGACCCACUCACAAUUCCAUGGACAGUAUCUUCAUUCUUUCUUCAAGCAAAUCAGUGCCUGCUGUGUUGCUGGGAGUAAGCUCGGUGCUGGAUAUAACCCUAGCGAAGUCAAGGACAGCUCAGUUUGGCUCAAAUCUUGAUUUCAUCAUUGGAAAGUGACUGGCUCUGGACACAAUGAGAAAGUAGUGAAGAGCAGUUGCUGUGAGAAGAUUUUGGUUUAAAAAAUAAAGGUCAGGACUAUGCUCGUGUUCUGUGGGUGUGCUCAGUUCUGCUCUAAAUUGUCUGCAUCAACUAAUGUUAAAUAGAAUGUAUGAAGGAGUUAAAUGGUGCCUAUGAGGAGUGAAUGUUGCUGCUACAAAAUAUGGAGAUAGAAGCACGGGUGAAAUAUAUUGCCAUCUAGGCAAAAUGAACAAUCUGUUUGGAAGGAAUCAGUCUCUAGGGAUCAUACAUAACUACAAUUACUUUACUAAGGAACGAAUGUUUUAUAUUUUGUGGCAACUUUUGGGGGAUACCACAUUUUUCUACAUGUGCCUGUUUUGGUUCCAUUUUCCACCUAAAAUUACACAUGUGAGGACAAUAAGUAAUUCUGUAAAUAAAGAGUGAGAUCAUCUUUAUCUCAAAGACCUUGGCUGAAGGUCAUGGUUAAUGACCAGACUUCUAACGUUGCCACUGACAUCCUGGCAGAAUUGUAUCUGAAACUUGGG